AUCCUGCUAACACGAUUUGUGGUUUUGAAGUUAAUUGUUCUUUUGUUUAAAAAUAUGAUUUUAUUCUCAAAAGUUCUAUUGGAACGACUGAAUCGACGGAUUAUGGAGUUUUGUUUGACUAGACGAGAAUCUGACUGUACCGAAUUCAAAUUCUGCGACGGUGGACGACAUGGACUGCAGUAAAAACUGUGCCACGCUUCUAGAACGUUUAAGGAUUCGCCUAUUCCGAAUAGAUACCAGCGCAAACUUCCACAUGCUCUAGCUCUACCCGUACUCCGGCAUGAAUACUUUCUCAUCAACCCUACCGUGAGCAGCGUCACCAUAACCAAGGCUACAAACUUUCUGCCGAAUAUCCACUAAAGUCCACCAAAAUGAUUUCAUUGAAGUGAAAAUAAACAUGAGAUUGAGUUCAAUUAACCGUAAA